rnacentral:rRNA from 1 species
GAUCCUGGCUCAGAUUGAACGCUGGCGGCAGGCCUAACACAUGCAAGUCGAACGGUAACAGGAAGAAGCUUGCUUCUUUGCUGACGAGUGGCGGACGGGUGAGUAAUGUCUGGGAAACUGCCUGAUGGAGGGGGAUAACUACUGGAAACGGUGGCUAAUACCGCAUAACGUCGCAAGACCAAAGAGGGGGGACCUUUCGGGGCCUCUUGCCAUCGGAUGUGCCCAGAUGGGAUUAGCUAGUAGGUGGGUAACGG